UUGGGAUUAAAAAUUCUGCUAAACAUUCGCUAUAUUAACACCAUUAAGAACUGAGACCUAGUUCUUUUCUUUGGUCUGGUUUUAUAUAAGCUGGUGAUAAAC